rnacentral:rRNA from 1 species
CUUGGUCAUUUAGAGGAAGUAAAAAGUCGUAACAAGGUUUCCGUAGGUGAACCUGCGGAAGGAUCAUUCAUAAUAAGUGUUUUAUGGCACUUUUUAAAUCCAUAUCCACCUUGUGUGCAAUGUCAGUCGUUCUCUUCUAUGGGAACGACCAAACAUCAACCAACUCUUUAACUCUUUGUCUGAAAAAUAUUACGAAUAAAAUAAUUCAAAAUACAACUUUCAACAACGGAUCUCUUGGCUCUCGCAUCGAUGAAGAACGCAGCGAAAUGCGAUACGUAAUGUGAAUUGCAGAAUUCAGUGAAUCAUCGAAUCAUUGAACGCAUAUUGCGCUCUUUGGUAUUCCGAAGAGCAUGCUUGUUUGAGUAUCAGUAAACACCUCAAAUCCUUCAAUUUGUUUUGAAGGCUUUGGACUUGAGCAAUCCCAACACCAGUCUUUACGAUCGGUGGAGGGUUGCUUGAAAUGCAGGUGCAGCUGGACAUUCUCCUGAGCUAUAAGCAUAUUUAUUUAGUCCCGUCAAACGGAUUAUUACUUUUGCUGCAGCUAACAUAAAGGGAGUCUGACCAUAUUGGCUGACUGAUGCAGGAUUUCACAAGGGUCGGCAACGAUUCUUGUAAAACUCGAUCUCAAAUCAAGUAAGACUACCCGCUGAACUUAAGCAUAUCAAUAAGCGGAGGA